GGGAGGGGUGCAAACGUUGUUCGGAAUUAUUGGGCAUAAAGAGCGUGUAGGCGGUUCGUCAAGUCUGAUGUGAAAGCCCGGGGCUCAACCCCGGAAGUGCAUUGGAAACUGGCGAACUUGAGUACGGGAGAGGAAAGUGGAAUUUCGAGUGUAGGGGUGAAAUCCGUAGAUAUUCGAAGGAACACCGGUGGCGAAGGCGGCUUUCUGGACCGAUACUGACGCUGAGAUGCGAAAGCGUGGGGAGCAAACAGGAUUAGAUACCCUGGUAGUCCACGCCCUAAACGAUGGGUACUAGGUGUUGCGGAUAUUGACCCCUGCAGUGCCAAAGCUAACGCAUUAAGUGCCCCGCCUGGGGAGUACGGCCGCAAGGCUA
rnacentral:rRNA from 1 species